UCAGUCCCAAAAUUAUUAAAAUCACUAUUAACAUCUAUAGCCCCAAAAUUUUAGGGCCGGCCCUGACUACGAUGAAAAACUAAAGUUUAGAAAGGAGAUCACUUUGUUGGAAUCUCAUCUGUGAUUAAUCUUCCAAAUGAUAAAAUGCAGAAAACAUAGAAAAUAAGGAGAAGCGACAAGAAAAGGGAGUUGUGUAUAAUUUACUGUUGAUUUAUAUAGUUAGACCAUCACAAUAUUCCAUUUUAGUAGAAUCUCGAUGGAUUUGGUUGCCAUAGAUAAUUGUAAAGCUCGUCGGAUUUGGUUGGAGGUAGAGAUCUGGAGAGCUCGUGAGAGAAAUAAAUUAGCUCUAGGUUUAAUUAAAUAGAGACAAAAUUGUAUUUUUCCUAUUUAAAACAAAAGGUAAAUGUGGUUAAUUUUGAAAGAAUGUAUUUUUGUAAAGUGGCACUAAGAAUGUUGUUGUUUAACUAAUUUCUCAAAAAAAAAUUAUACUUGCAAUUGUAUCAUUUUGAAACUUUAACAAUAAAAUGUAUAUAAUUUACACAC
rnacentral:lncRNA from 1 species